rnacentral:rRNA from 1 species
CCUACGGGUGGCAGCAGUCGGGCAUAUUGCGCAAUGGAGGAAACUCUGACGCAGUGACGCCGCGUGCAGGAAGAAGGUUUUCGGAUUGUAAACUGCUUUAGACCGGGAAGAAAAAAGACAGUACCUGUCGAAUAAGCUCCGGCUAACUACGUGCCAGCAGCCGCGGUAAUACGUAGGGAGCAAGCGUUAUCCGGAUUUCUUGGGUGUAAAGGGUGCGUAGACGGGAAAACAAGUUAGUUGUGAAAUCCCUCAGCUUAACUGAGGAACUGCAACUAAAACUAUUUUUCUUGAGUGCUGGAGAGGAAAGUGGAAUUCCUAGUGUAGCGGUGAAAUGCGUAGAUAGUAGGAGGAACACCAGUGGCGAAGGCGACUGUCUGGACAGUAACUGACGUUGAGGCACGAAAGUGUGGGGAGCAAACAGGAUUAGAUACCCUGGUAGUC